CAAUUUAAAGCUUAAUAAGUAAAGCGUUUCGUUUACAUUGAAAAGAAAUACGUGCAAAUCGUUUUAAAUUGAA
rnacentral:tRNA from 1 species